rnacentral:tRNA from 1 species
GGGUAGGUGGCCGAGUGGUUAAAGGCAACAGACUGUAAAUCUGUCCUCUCACGAGUACGGUGGUUCGAAUCCACCCCUGCCCACCA